GACGGAGGAUGCAAGCGUUAUCCGGAAUGAUUGGGCGUAAAGCGUCCGCAGGUGGCAGUUCAAGUCUGCUGUCAAAGACCGGGGCUUAACUUCGGAAAGGCAGUGGAAACUGAACAGCUAGAGUAUGGUAGGGGCAGAGGGAAUUCCUGGUGCAGCGGUGAAAUGCGCAGAUAUCAGGAGGAACACCGGUGGCGAAGGCGGGUCUCUGGGCCGAUACUGACGCUGAGGUGCGAAAGCGUGGGGAGCAAACAGG
rnacentral:rRNA from 1 species